ensembl:lncRNA
CGGAGCUGCGGGAGCUGCGGGUGCGGGACGGAGCGCUGCCGGCAUUGCCGUCCGUUUGCGUGGCGCUGUUGAGGCGUCGGCACGGAGUACGGCUACGGAUCCGGGACCGAACCGCCACCGUCUGCGGCUUCAGGGAUUUUUGCGUGGCGGCCGUCCGGGAGCUCCGGGAGACGCUGAGGGAGAUGAGGGGGGACGGCGGGGCGGUGAGAGGCGCAGCAGUUGAUCCACCCGCGCCUUUACGGGCAGUUCCGGCGGCGCUGCGCCGAGUUGGAGCGGAGGGGGGACGGCGCGUGGACGGAACAGCUGCUGUUCCACGGCACCACCGCCCCCCGCGGGCUCGCGAUCUGCCUGCACGGCUUCCGAGCCCCCCCCGGCUCUCCCGGCGUUCCUUUGGCGGUGUCGGCGGCUGUGGCGCUCCGACGGUUCCAUUCGCCGCCCUCUCCCGACGGCACUCAGUGCGUUUUGGUGGUCCGAGCGCUGUGCGGUCGGGAGAGACCCCCGAACCGCCGCGGGGAACCCCGCAACGCGCGUCGCCGCGCCGUCCGCUUCUGCUGCCCUACGGCCGCAUACCCGCUGUACGUGCUCAGCUGCGUGCGCGUGCCCGAGGAGCGCGACCGGCUGCGUGCGCGUGCCCGCUGACGGACGGGAGGAGCCGCGCGCGGAUGGAAACCGUCGAGAGUGCCAUACUGUGCCAUACGGUGCCAUGGACUCACCAGGAGUGUCACACUGUGCCAUGGACUCACCAGGAGUGCCAUACUGUGCCAUGGAUUCACCAGGAGUGCCAUACUGUGCCAUACUGUGCCAUACUGUGCCAUGGACCCACCAGGAGUGCCAUACUGGGCUAUACUGUGCCAUGGACUCACCGGGAGUGCCAUACUGUGCCAUGGACCCACCAGGAGUGCAUUGCUGUGCCAUACUGUGCCAUGGACCCACCAGGAGUGCCAUACUGUGCCAUGGACUCACCAGGAGUGCCAUACUGUGCCAUGGACACACCAGCAGUGCCAUACUGUGCCAUGGACCCACCAGGAGUGCAUUGCUGUGCCAUACUGUGCCAUGGACCCACCAGGAGUGCCAUACUGUGCCAUGGACUCACCAGCAGUGCCAUACUGUGCCAUGGACCCACCGGGAGUGCAUUGCUGUGCCAUACUGUGCCAUGGACCCACCAGGAGUGCAUUGCUGUGCCAUACUGUGCCAUGGACCCACCAGGAGUGCCAUACUGUGCCAUGGACUCCCCAGGAGUGCCAUACUGUGCCAUACUGUGCCAUGGACCCACCGGGAGUGCAUUGCUGUGCCAUACUGUGCCAUGGACCCACCAGGAGUGCAUUGCUGUGCCAUACUGUGCCAUGGACCCACCAGGAGUGCCAUACUGUGCCAUGGACUCCCCAGGAGUGCCAUACUGUGCCAUACUGUGCCAUGGACUCACCAGGAGUGCCAUACUGUGCCAUACUGUGCCAUGGACCCACCGGGAGUGCAUUGCUGUGCCAUACUGUGCCAUGGACUCACCAGGAGUGCCAUACUGUGCCAUGGACACACCAGGAGUGCCAUACUGUGCCAUGGACUCACCGUGGUGGCGGUGCGGUGCCGCGUGCUGCCCAAGAAGGCCAUGUUUUGCCCCA